UACAGAGGUCCCAAGCGUUGUUCGGAUUCAUUGGGCGUAAAGGGUGCGUAGGUGGCGCCGUAAGUCGGGUGUGAAAUUUCGGAGCUUAACUCCGAAACUGCAUUCGAUACUGCGGUGCUUGAGGACUGGAGAGGAGACUGGAAUUCAUGGUGAGCAGUGAAAUGCGUAGAGAUCAUGAGGAAGACCAGUGGCGAAGGCGGGUCUCUGGACAGUUCCUGACACUGAGGCACGAAGGCCAGGGGAGCAA
rnacentral:rRNA from 1 species